UACGAAGGGGGCUAGCGUUGCUCGGGAUCACUGGGCGUAAAGCGCACGUAGGCGGCUUGUUAAGUCAGGGGUGAAAUCCUGGAGCUCAACUCCAGAACUGCCUUUGAUACUGGCGAUCUUGAGUUCGGGAGAGGUGAGUGGAACUGCGAGUGUAGAGGUGAAAUUCGUAGAUAUUCGCAAGAACACCAGUGGCGAAGGCGGCUCACUGGCCCGAUACUGACGCUGAGGCACGAAAGCGUGGGGAGCAAACAGG
rnacentral:rRNA from 1 species